rnacentral:lncRNA from 13 species
CAGCAGGAAGGUGAAAGUGACCUUUCUGCAUCUGUUGUUCCUCAAAUGCCCCCGUACCAUAUUUUGGUGUAACAUGUCCUGAACCCCAUCACACUGUCUCCAGUUCUGGGAUAUUACAAAUAAGGUUGUUAAAGGUUAUGUCGAAAGGACUCAGGUGUCAUUGAAGAGGCUGCCACUGGGCAGUUAUGAUACAACUCAAACUCCAAAAGUGGUAACAUUUAAGACAGAGUACAUUCAUGUGGUAUAUUUUGAAAUUGGCAUAUACAAUGAAAUAAGGAGCAAGUAAGUACAGUAUUUCUUAAAUUAAUUAAGUGAUUGCAUACAUAAAAGUGUAGUAAUAUAUGAUAUAUUUACAUUCACCAAAUAACCUAUAAACGGUCCAAGAGCCUUUAACAUACUAUAUCUUACCUUCAAGAGUGUUGCUUGGCAUUCUGUUUUGCAGCUUUUAUUACUUGUAGCAGUG